GGGGAAUAUUGGACAAUGGGCGCAAGCCUGAUCCAGCCAUGCCGCGUGGGUGAAGAAGGCCUUCGGGUUGUAAAGCCCUUUUGUUGGGAAAGAAAACUUUCCGGUUAAUACCCGGAGAGAAUGACGGUACCCAAAGAAUAAGCACCGGCUAACUUCGUGCCAGCAGCCGCGGUAAUACGAAGGGUGCAAGCGUUACUCGGAAUUACUGGGCGUAAAGCGUGCGUAGGUGGUUCGUUAAGUCUGAUGUGAAAGCCCUGGGCUCAACCUGGGAAUUGCAUUGGAUACUGGCGGGCUAGAGUGCGGUAGAGGGUAGUGGAAUUCCUGGUGUAGCAGUGAAAUGCGUAGAGAUCAGGAGGAACAUCCGUGGCGAAGGCGACUGCCUGGACCAGCACUGACACUGAGGCACGAAAGCGUGGGGAGCAAAC
rnacentral:rRNA from 1 species